rnacentral:rRNA from 1 species
AUUGAACGCUGGCGGAAUGCUUUACACAUGCAAGUCGAACGGCAGCACGGACUUCGGUCUGGUGGCGAGUGGCGAACGGGUGAGUAAUGUAUCGGAACGUGCCCAGUCGUGGGGGAUAACGUAGUGAAAAUUACGCUAAUACCGCAUACGAUCUAUGGAUGAAAGCGGGGGAUCGCAAGACCUCGCGCGAUUGGAGCGGCCGAUAUCAGAUUAGGUAGUUGGUGGGGUAAAGGCCCACCAAGCCAACGAUCUGUAGCUGGUCUGAGAGGACGACCAGCCACACUGGAACUGAGACAUGGUCCAGACUCCUACGGAAGGCAGCAGUGGGGAAUUUUGGACAAUGGGCGAAAGCCUGAUCCAGCCAUUCCGCGUGCAGGAUGAAGGCCCUCGGGUUGUAAACUGCUUUUGUACAGAACGAAAAGGUUUCUACUAAUACUAGGAGCUCAUGACGGUACUGUAAGAAUAAGCACCGGCUAACUACGUGCCAGCCGCCGCAGUAA